rnacentral:misc_RNA from 1 species
UCCAGGUCAACCCUGGCAGUCUCGCCUGACACUUGUAACAGACGACAGGGGUUGCGCUCGUUUCCCCACUGAAGGGAACCAUUCACAUGACGAGCUGACGACAGCCGUGCAGCACCUGUCUAGCAGCCUUUCGGGGUCCAAAGUUUCCUAAGGAUUUCUACUAGAUUUCUAACCCUGGUGAGGUUCCUCGGUUAGAGUCGAAUUAAACCGCAUGAUCCACUGCUUGUGCGAGCUCCCGCCUAUUCCUUUGAGUUUUAAUCUUGCGAUCGUACUUCCCAGGCGGCAGACUUAACGCGUUAGCUACGCCACCGAAAGGGUCGAUGCUCCCGAUAGCUAGUCUGCAACGUUUAGGGCGUGGAAUA